CCUACGGGGGGCUGCAGUGGGGAAUAUUGGACAAUGGGGGCAACCCUGAUCCAGCCAUGCCGCGGGUGUGAAGAAGGCCCUCGGGUUGUAAAGCACUUUCAGUGAGGAAGAACGCCUGGUGGUUAAUACCCAUCAGGAAAGACAUCACUCACAGAAGAAGCACCGGCUAACUCCGUGCCAGCAGCCGCGGUAAUACGGAGGGUGCGAGCGUUAAUCGGAAUUACUGGGCGUAAAGCGCGCGUAGGUGGCUUGAUAAGCCGGUUGUGAAAGCCCCGGGCUCAACCUGGGAACGGCAUCCGGAACUGUCAAGCUAGAGUGCAGGAGAGGAAGGUAGAAUUCCCGGUGUAGCGGUGAAAUGCGUAGAGAUCGGGAGGAAUACCAGUGGCGAAGGCGGCCUUCUGGACUGACACUGACACUGAGGUGCGAAAGCGUGGGUAGCAAACAGGAUUAGAUACCCUUGUAGUC
rnacentral:rRNA from 1 species